rnacentral:tRNA from 1 species
GCUGGGGUGGUGGAAUUGGCAGACACGCUAGGCUAAGGACCUAGUGCCGUUAAUCCGGCGUGCGGGUUCAAGUCCCGCCUCCAGCACCA